rnacentral:rRNA from 1 species
UGUGUAGGCGGAUUAAUAAGUCAGUGGUGAAAUCCUACAGCUUAACUGUAGAACUGCCAUUGAUACUGUUAACCUUGAGUAUAGUUGAGGUAGGCGGAAUGUGUUGUGUAGCGGUGAAAUGCUUAGAUAUAACACAGAACACCAAUUGCGAAGGCAGCUUACUAAACUAUUACUGACGCUGAGGCACGAAAGCGUGGGGAGCGAACAGGAUUAGAUACCCUGGUAGUCC